rnacentral:lncRNA from 1 species
UUAUCAACUUUUAAUUCCCGUCUUCCCCAAUUCCAUUGUCAGACUAAUUAGCCAAUUCUUCGAAUAUCAAAUCCAACAUCAACCACGUAUACACAACAAAGAUUCAAAUACGCUAAAGAAACAAGUUAUUCACACCCAUAACAAACAACUAAAAUUCCAAAAAAUAGAAUAGAGAAUGAGAUGAGAAAUGGACCUCAAUACCUUAUUGAUUAACUGAUCUUUCUGAAUAGAACCGCGUCCAAUGGAACCUCAACGUCGAACCUCAAUGUUACUUUUAUUCAAUCAACUUGAACCGAUUUCAACCACGACGGGAGCCUCGUGAACCCAUGAACCACGAACAGACCUCGAACUCGAUUCCCAAAAUCCCAAAGACAAACCCACUUUUAUUUUCC